rnacentral:rRNA from 1 species
GAUGAACGCUGGCGGCGUGCCUAAUACAUGCAAGUCGAGCGAACGGACGAGAAGCUUGCUUCUCUGAUGUUAGCGGCGGACGGGUGAGUAACACGUGGAUAACCUACCUAUAAGACUGGGAUAACUUCGGGAAACCGGAGCUAAUACCGGAUAAUAUUUUGAACCGCAUGAUUCAAAAGUGAAAGACGGUCUUGCUGUCACUUAUAGAUGGAUCCGCGCUGCAUUAGCUAGUUGGUAAGGUAACGGCUUACCAAGGCAACGAUGCAUAGCCGACCUGAGAGGGUGAUCGGCCACACUGGAACUGAGACACGGUUCAGACUCCUACGGGAGGCAGCAGUAGGGAAUCUUCCGCAAUGGGCGAAAGCCUGACGGAGCAACGCCGCGUGAGUGAUGAAGGUCUUCGGAUCGUAAAACUCUGUUAUUAGGGAAGAACAUAUGUGUAAGUAACUGUGCACAUCUUGACGGUACCUAAUCAGAAAGCCACGGCUAACUACGUG